rnacentral:rRNA from 1 species
UACGGGGGGGGCAAGCGUUGUUCGGAAUUACUGGGCGUAAAGGGCUCGUAGGCGGCCAACUAAGUCGGACGUGAAAUCCCUCGGCUUAACCGGGGAACUGCGUCUGAUACUGGAUGGCUUGAAUCCGGGAGAGGGAUGCGGAAUUCCAGGUGUAGCGGUGAAAUGCGUAGAUAUCUGGAGGAAUACCGGUGGCGAAGGCGGCAUCCUGGACCGACAUUGACGCUGAGGAGCGAAAGCUAGGGGAGCAAACGGG